UUACAUGUUUAUUUUUUAAUUCUUAUGAAUGAAAAAAUGAAUUAAAACUAUUUGCUUAAUAUAUACAUGAAUGUUGAUGGUAAAUUUCAAAUAAAUUAAGAGAAACAAAGGCCAUUAGAAGAAAUAGAUCAGGGGGCAGCUGGGUAGCUCAGAGGAUUGAGAGCCAAGCCUAGAGAUGGUCCCAGGUUCAAAUCUGGCCUCAGACACUGUGGGUCUAUCUGGCCUCAGCCAAUACACAGUAUUGGCUCCAAGACAGAAGGUUAGGGUUUAAAAAAAAAAAAGAAAGAAGAAAUAGAUCAUUGUUAAUGAGAGAGGAAAAAUUAAAUGGAUAGGGAAAAGAAAAUCCCAGAGUAUCUUACAAGUUUUAAGGAAUAAACUAUACAUACAAGUUUUAACAAAUAAAAAGCUAUGGUAUAAUUAUGUUUAAUAACAAUUAAGGGUUAGUUAAAUAACUAGGAAGAAAUGACUACAUUUUUUAAAAAUGGUUGUUAUCAUGAAUGAAUGAAAAAUGAUUGGCCAGUUCAUAAUUUCUGCUUACAACAUGAGGAGUACAAAAAGCAAUCUUGUUGUUGAGUAAAUAGAUUUCUAAUGAUGAGUAGACAUGAAAUGAAAAGUAUGGCUUAAAGUUGGGCCCACAUUUCCAACAUGUAGUAAACAAGUUGUAUUAAUUCAAGAAGUUCAAUAAGCAGAGGGAAAAAAAUAAGUUUCCAAUAUGUAAAGAAUAGCUUCAAUAUUCUUGAGUUUGUAAUCUAUUUGAAAUAUAGUUUUAAGUUUGUCCUUUCUUGAACACACUGAUAUAAAAUAUUUGAUAGUUUCCUUUUUCUGAUUAGACAAUUAGAAAAUAAUAUGGUAUUUUAAGGACUUUUAAUUUUUUAACCAUGAAACCUUUUUCUACUCAUGGAAACCUUACUCCUAUAAAGCAAAGUGGAUGAUAUUUGAAGCUGCUGUGGCUAAAAAUGUUUGUAAUGAUAAUGACCACUCAAUGUUGAACUGGAAGCAAGGAAGACCUGAUUCAAACCCAGUCUAAGAUAGCUAACAGGGUUCAAAAACUUAUCUUUUACUUACUCGUUGUGUAACCAUGACUUGUAAUUGAGUUUGAAAUUAAUUUCCCUAAUCUAUAAAAUGGUGUUAAUUCUUAAUUCCUAACUUUUGUUGCUGCAAGAUGGCACAGUAGAUAAAGUUCUAUGCCUGGAGUUAAGAAGUCUCUUCCAGAGUUCAAAUCUGACUUCAGAAAUUAGCACUAUGGCCCUAGGCAAGUCAUUUACCCUUAUUUGUCUCGGUUUCCCCAUCAGUAAAAUGAGGUUGAGAAGGAAAUGGCAAAUCAUUCUAGUAUCUUUGCUAAGAAAAUCCUGAAUUAGGUCAUUAAGAAUCAGAUAUAAUUGAAUAGUCUAAACAGUAACAACAAUGUAAUUCACAAAGUUGCUGUAAGAUCAAAUAUAUUGAUCAACUGUGAACGACUUAACUAUUAUAAACGAGGCAUGAAUCCAGAACAACUUCAAGCAACUCCGUGAAGAAGGCUAUCCACUACCAUAGAAGGAACUGAUAGAGUUGUAAUGUGGAUUGAAAGAUACCAUUCUUCACUUUUAUUUCCUCUAUGAAUUUUCUCUAGUGUAAACAAUAUGUAUUGUUUCAAAACAUGACAACAUGCAAUAUAUAGUAUAUGAUUACACAUUUACAACCUAUAUCAUAUUAGCUGCAUUUUGGGGAAGGACCAGAUGGAGGGAGGAAAUUUUCGCUUGCAAAAUAUCAGAAAAUGAUUAUUAAAAUUGUAUCAAAAUGAAUUCUGUAAAAAAUUAAAAUAAUAAAAAUAAGAUAUUUCUUGAUUAAUUGAUCAAUCAGUUGAUAGGUAAAGUGUUCCAUAAGCCUAAUUAUACUAGAUAGAUAUUAGCUAUUCCUUCUUUUGCCAGACUCUUUUAAAGGCUUUUCUAGCUUGGUAGUACCUAGAAGACUUCAUAUUUUACUAACAGAGUCUUAGAAAAUCCAGGGUCAUCAGCCCACCGUGAUGAGGCAAUGGAGGAAGACUUCAGUGGGGGAAUGAAAAAAGUUAUUUUCAGAAGAGAAUUUAAGCACUUUAAGACCAAGAAUUGUUAGCACAAUACUUAGUAAGUGCUUAUUGAUAGAAUGAAAAGAAAAUAUAGCAUCAUAAAUAUUGCCUAUAUCUCUAGACUUGUUGGUGAUAGAGAUUUAUACAUUUUCAGCUGGAAAGGAUAUCAGAGGCCAUACAUUAGAAUUGUCUCAUUCUAUACAUAAAAUUGUGUCACAGAGAGGUUAAAAACGAAUUGCCAUAGGUCACACAAGUAGUGACAGAGGCAGGAUUCCAAUCCAAGUCAUGUGAUUCAAACACUAUUUUUUCCAUUAUUUCAUACUUCCUCAUUUGAUACCAUACUGCAUCAGCAAUACUAUUUGAGAAAUAAACUCCUCAAACCCUCCACACAAACAUGAAAAAGAAAAGAAAUCAGCUCAAAAUAAAGGAAAACAGGAGGAACAUGUCUCACUGGAAUAAGAAGAGAGAGUAGCCCAGGCAGAGGUGGAAUUGGAAUGAGCCCAGCCUAAGCCACUUGAUGGACAGUGAGGGGGCCAGCCUAGCCUAAAUCACUUGACAUGGGCAGAAAAGUCAGAAAGGGCAGGAAAAAUCCCAACUCUCAUGUGGCAACACAGCCUUUGAAUCAGUGAAGCAGCAGGAAGGAACCAGCCCAGCCUAAGCCAUUCCACAGGGAUAGCAGGUAAGAAGUGCGAUGGCCACCCACACACCAGAUCCCACAGAGAGCUUUGCCAUACUUCAUUUUGGACAUGGGGUGGUGUACUUUUCCUUAGACAACACUCUCCUUCCCCUUGCAGGAUCAUAUAAUGUUGUUACUGAAUACUGACUUUGGAUAGGUUUAUUAUUCCAUUAAAAGAUCAGAACUAUUGAGUUCAAGAGA